rnacentral:rRNA from 1 species
ACGAUACAGUGGCAGACGGGUGAGUAACGCGUGGGAACGUACCUUUCACUACGGAAUAGCUCUGGGAAACUGGUGGUAAUACCGUAUACGCCCUCCGGGGGAAAGAUUUAUCGGUGAAAGAUCGGCCCGCGUUGGAUUAGCUAGUUGGUGAGGUAAUGGCUCACCAAGGCGACGAUCCAUAGCUGGUCUGAGAGGAUGAUCAGCCACAUUGGGACUGAGACACGGCCCAAACUCCUACGGGAGGCAGCAGUGGGGGAUCUUGCACAACGGGCGAAAGCCUGAUGCAGCCAUGCCGCGUGAAUGAUGAAGGCCUUAGGGUUGUAAAAUUCUUUCGUCAGGGAUGAUAAUGACCGUACCUGAAGAAGAAGCCCCGGCUAACUUCGUGCCAGCAGCCGCGGUAAUACGAAGGGGGCUAGCGUUGUUCGGAAUUACUGGGCGUAAAGCGCACGUAGGCGGAUUUUUAAGUCAGGUGUGAAAUCCCGGGGCUCAACCUCGGAACUGCAUUUGAAACUGGAAGUCUUGAGACCAGGAGAGGUUAGCGGAAUACCGAGUGUAGAGGUGAAAUUCGUAGAUAUUCGGUGGAACACCAGUGGCGAAGGCGGCUAACUGGACUGGUACUGACGCUGAGGUGCGAAAGUGUGGGGAGCAAACAGGAUUAGAUACCCUGGUAGUCCACACCGUAAACGAUGAGAGCUAGUUGUUGGCAGGCAUGCCUGUCGGUGACGCAGCUAACGCAUUAAGCUCUCGCCUGGGGGAGUACGGCCGCAAGGUAAAACUCAAAGAAAUUGACGGGGGCCCGCACAGCGGGUGGGAGCAUGGUGGUUUAAUUC